UACGUAGGUGGCAAGCGUUGUCCGGAUUUAUUGGGUUUAAAGGGUGCGUAGGCGGUCUUGUAAGUCAGUUCUGAAAUAUCCCGGCUUAACCGGGAGGGUGGGAUUGAUACUGCAGGACUUGAGUAGAGUCGAGGUAGGCGGAAUUGACGGUGUAGCGGUGAAAUGCUUAGAUAUCGUCAAGAACACCGAUAGGGUAGACAGCUUGCUAGACUCAAACUGACGCUGAGGCACGAAAGGGUGGGGAGCAAACAGG
rnacentral:rRNA from 1 species